rnacentral:rRNA from 1 species
AUUGAACGCUGGCGGCAGGCCUAACACAUGCAAGUCGAACGGUAACAGGGAUCAGCUUGCUGAUUCGCUGACGAGUGGCGGACGGGUGAGUAAUGUCUGGGAAACUGCCUGAUGGAGGGGGAUAACUACUGGAAACGGUAGCUAAUACCGCAUAACGUCGCAAGGCCAAAGAGGGGGACCUUCGGGCCUCUUGCCAUCGGAUGUGCCCAGAUGGGAUUAGCUAGUAGGUGGGGUAACGGCUCACCUAGGCGACGAUCCCUAGCUGGUCUGAGAGGAUGACCAGCCACACUGGAACUGAGACACGGUCCAGACUCCUACGGGAGGCAGCAGUGGGGAAUAUUGCACAAUGGGCGCAAGCCUGAUGCAGCCAUGCCGCGUGUAUGAAGAAGGCCCUCGGGUUGUAAAGUACUUUCAGCGGGGAGGAAGGGAGUAAAGUUAAUACCUUUGCUCAUUGACGUUACCCGCAGAAGAAGCACCGGCUAACUCCGUG